rnacentral:rRNA from 1 species
GACGAACGCUGGCGGCGUGCCUAAUACAUGCAAGUCGAACGCAGUGGGGACGGGUGAGUAACACGUGGGUAACCUCCCAUCAGAGGGGAUAACACUUGGAAACAGGUGCUAAACCGAUAGUGAUGGAUGGACCCGCGUGGCAUUAGCUAGUUGGUGGGGUAACGGCUCACUAGGGCCACGAUGCGUAGCCGACCUGAGAGGGUGAUGGGCCAACCUGCGACUGAGACACGGCCCAGACUCCGACGGGCGGCAGCAGUAGGGAAUCUUCGGCAAUGGACGAAAGUCGGACCGAGCAACGCCGCGUGAGUGAAGAAGGUUUUCGGAUCGUAAAACUCUGUUGUUAGAGAAGCGGUAUCUAACCAGAAAGCCACGGCUAACUACGUGCCAGCCGCCGCGGUAAUAC